ensembl:lncRNA
GUGGAGAGGUGCUUUAGGUUUGUGACUGAAACACUGUUGAUAACAUAGCAGUGGUUUGACUUUUGCUGAGCAGUGCCUGCACAACGUUGUGGCUUUCUCUGGCUCAGCCCCCACAGCUGUAGGUCGGCAAGAAGUUGGAGGGUACACUGCCAGGACAGUUGACCAAGAUUGGCCCAAGAAAUAUUCCCUGUCAUACAUCACAUUCAGCAGUAGGAGCUCAAGGAAAGGAGGAGGAAGAGAGAGGAUACUUGUGGCCAUGGCAUGUCUUCCCAAGUUAACUGUCCUGUGGGAUGGGCCCCUGCUAAAGAGGAGGAAACUAAAUAUUGGCCUGCUGAUAGGAAGCAGUGAAUUUGGAGUGGCAGAGUUGCACAUGAAGCAUGUAGGAUGAGGUGCCACGUGGCAACAGCUUUCUCUUCUGGCUGUGCUGAGGAGCUCUCAGCACACUGUACUCCCACCUGCCAUUGCAGCAGCUCAUGUGUGGAGGCACCUCUGGAGAACACCAGGUCCAAACCCCAGCCCAAAGCAGCGCCUCCUGGAACUACACAGGGCCAUGGCUGAGUGAGAUCACAAUGGUGGCUGAGAAAUCUUUGUUGCUCCCUUUUCUCCCAUCAGCAACACUCAUAUCCAGGCUGAAUAAAUCCUUCAACAGCAUUCUUUGCUUGUGGCCGUUUGAUGUGUUUCCAAGCAGCUACAAACAUGGGAGACACCCAAACUGCUUAGUGCCAGAAAGGCUGAAACUGCACUGCCAUGGGAGCCUGAACGGCAGAGGGGCCACCUGUCAGUGCCCUGCAGGACCCAAGGUGCUCACCCACCCACUACGCAAGAAGCUCCUCAUGUCCUUCCGCUCUGCGGUGGGCAGCACCUGGAGUGCCUUUCCUAGCUCUGAUUCUAUUCUUCUGCUCCAAAGCAACAAGCCAAACUCCCCACCAGCAUUCAACCUCCGUGCCAAAAAGAAAAUAACAAGAGUAAAAGCACUGCACAACAGAAACACAUAGGACAGUGAAGAGGCUGGGAUUGCUGGGGAGUCCAGCAUAGUCGCGUCGGGGUGCUCAGGUCGGUGCUGCUGCAGCAUUCAUCCAGGCCAAUGGGGAAGGUAGGUGGUUGGUGGCUGUGAGCACCUCCCCUGGAUGGAAAAUGACACCUCUGCACAGCUCUGGACAUUUCUGAAUGCCACAGGAGGUUGGGGAGACCAGCCCAGCUGGAAAGAGGGUAGACAUGCUCCAGCAUCAAUGCCAUCAGCUCUGACAAGGUCCUGGCUGGCUGCAGCACGCUGAUGUCCUCAUAAACCAAGGCUUUCUCUCUGAUGGCUGUGCAAACGAGAAGCUGGGCUUAACUGGAGCACAGUGCUGUUGCUGGCUUUAACUCUCCAAUGAACUCUCCAAUUCCCAUUUUCCCAGGGCAGUUCAGCGCCAGGGUAAAUCAGUGCAUGUGUGCAGCCCUGCUGCCAGCUGGCUGCUCCUGCCUGCAGCGGUGUCUGGUCACAGCUCUGGGGAUGUGCCCUGCAAGUCCCCCCUUGGCAGCACCUCCUGCCUGCCACGCUCACUUCCUUCAGCCUUUGCCUUUCUCCCUGCUCUGGUCCUCUGACUUCAGAACAUGGCUUUCUGUUUUAGUUCACUUCUGUAUUUAUACUGGGCCAAACUGACUGGAUACUUUCUGAACAGGGUGACCUAGGAGUUUUGAACAGACCAUCUUGUCAAAAGUUCUGUUAUUUCCCAUAACAAUGUGGUUUGGUUUGUUUUAUUUUCUUUUUUCUUGGUAAAACUGUCAAUAGGAACCACUUCUUGAAAGUCAGAAGAUGCAAAGCAGACCUUCCACAAGGAUUCCCCAAGGAGCAGAGAAUUUGAGGAUCACUGCGAAGGGCAUCAUUGCUCCUUGCUGUUCAUCCCAAACUGUCUUCAUUCUCUCACCCUGUGUAUUCCUGCACAACGGGACUGAGGGAAGUGCAUGAGAUCUAUUGCUGAACUGUGGUGUGGAUAGACUUUGUCUUCCUCAGCUAGCAUUCUGUCACCUUUCAAGAGUGAAAAAUUCAUUUUUAAAACAAAAAUCCCAAGUAAGAAACCUCACAUAGUUGCAGGAAACCACCACAGAGGUAUACAAUAUCCAGCGGAAGACCUUGCUGAAAACUGAACAGAUUACUCUUGUUAUAUGUGGUUAAACUGGGCCAUUAAUGCUAAAACAGUUCAAAGCACAAAAUAAAUUCUGAUUUUCUCCUGUCAAAGUUGGUGGUUUGGUGUUCACACAUUCUAGGCUCCGGUUAAAUGAUUUACUGUACAAUUUAAUGCCUUUCAGCUGUCACUAGCAUAAAAGGAUCCCUUGAAUGAUCUGCCAGUGAAUGAAGGCAGCACUUGCCCAGGGUGGAGUGUGGCCAGGGCUGCAGGACCCAACUUGCCAAGAUACUCAGGAACAAUCACGUAAGCCACUGUGACCCAUGUGUGGUACCCAGCGAAGUGAAGGCCACCUUGCUGUGAUCACAUCUGCAAAACCACUUCAUUUAAAGCAUACUGAGACGUUCACUCUGCUGUGGAACUUUUACGAGCAACUGCCUUUACAACAGCUCGCACCAUAGGCACGCUGCUAUUCUUUGUCCUUCUUUUGAACUCUUCUCUGCUCCCGGUCUUCCAGCGGUGUGAUUUUUUGAAGUUUUCCUUCACAAUAGCUUCUCAAAAUCCCAGUUCUCACAUAUCAACACAAAUAGGAGAAACAGUUGCCAUGGGACAGUGAAAAACAUAUUUCAGGAGCUCAGGAGCAAAGAAGGAAAUAAAAAAGGCACUGGAUUUCAGCAGUUACGUGUUGUAGUGUUUGACGUAGCUCUGAGUUCUUUGCUUUGUCUCUAGCUGAAGUGGUACUGUGCCUCUCAUGUUCAGCAGUGGGUGCACUCAGCAGUGGGUGCAGCUCUUAGCAGUGACCUCAUGGGGACACGGCAGUGCCCAGCACUGCAGCCAUGCUCUGUGGAACAGAGAGGAGAAUAUUGGUGUCACCUAAAACU